GGGAUUGCCCCAGUAACGGCGAGUGAAGCGGCAACAGCUCAAAUUUGAAAUCUGGCCCCAGGGUCCGAGUUGUAAUUGGCAGAGGAUGCUUUUGGCGAGGGUCCUUCCAAGUUCCUUAGAAUAGGACGCCGCAGAGGGUGAGAGCCCCGUACGGUUGGCCCCCGAGCCUGUGUAAAGCUCCUUCAACGAGUCGAGUAGUUUGGGAAUGCUGCUCUAAUUGGGAGGUAAAUUUCUUCUAAAGCUAAAUACCGGCCAGAGACCGAUAGCGCACAAGUAGAGUGAUCGAAAGAUGAAAAGCACUUUGAAAAGAGGGUGAAACAGUACGUGAAAUUGUUGAAAGGGAAGCGCUUGUGACCAGACCUGCGCCCGGCGAAUCACCCAGCCCCGGCUGGUGCACUUCUCCGGCGUAGGCCAGCACCGGUUUACCGCGGGGGAAAAAGACGGUGGGAAUGUGACUCCUUCUGGAGUGUUAUAGCCCGCCGUGUAAUGCCCUGGGGUGGACCGAGGUACGCGCUCUGCAAGGGUGCUGGCGUAAUGGUCAUCAGCGGCCCGUCUUGAAACACGGACCAAGGAGUCGUCCUCGUAUGCGAGUGUUCGGGUGUAAAACCCUUGCGCGUAAUGAAAGUGAACGCAGGUGAGAGCUUCGGCGCAUCAUCGACCGAUCCUGAUGUUCUCGGAUGGAUUUGAGUAAGAGCAUAUGGGGCCGGACCCGAAAGAAGGUGAACUAUGCGUGUGUAGGGUGAAGCCAGAGGAAACUCUGGUGGAGGCUCGCAGCGGUUCUGACGUGCAAAUCGAUCGUCAAACAUGCGCAUGGGGGCGAAAGACUAAUCGAACCUUCUAGUAGCUGGUUUCCGCCGAAGUUUCCCUCAGGAUAGCAGUGUUGAGCUCAGUUUUAUGAGGUAAAGCGAAUGAUUAGGGACUCGGGGGCGCUAUUUAGCCUUCAUCCAUUCUCAAACUUUAAAUAUGUAAGAAGCCCUUGUUACUUAAUUGAACG
rnacentral:rRNA from 1 species